UUACACAAUAGGGUAUGUAAGUCUCGUCAUGUGACUUGCGAGAUUUCACGAUAUUUUGCACUUCCGGGUACAAACAAAUAUCAACAACAUUGCUUAUCUAUAUUGGGUAAUACUUGUAUGCCGGUGGGAAAGUAAAACUUACAUGGAAAAGCAAAUGAUAUGUGGAAAUUGGCAGAGUUUUUUGUUUUGUAACGAAAUGCAAAUGGUUUCAUCUUGUGAACAAGUAUCAAUGAAAGACAACUUCGUAUAAUCUUCAGAUAUUUUGACUGAGGACAGUGGUGAGAUGAAAGACGUCAGUAUCCGAUGUAAAUACACAUGCAUGCUCUGCUGUAAAAUCGUUUUGGUAUGUGAUUUCAUGGUUUUAUC